rnacentral:rRNA from 1 species
UACGGAGGGUGCGAGCGUUAAUCGGAAUUACUGGGCGUAAAGGGUGCGCGGGUGGUUUAAUAAGUUAGCUGUGAAAUACCUGGGCUUAACCUAGGGUGGUCAGCUAAGACUGUUAGACUAGAGUAUAGGAGAGGGUAGCGGAAUUCCCGGUGUAGUGGUGAAAUGCGUAGAUAUCGGGAGGAACACCAGUGGCGAAGGCGGCUUCCUGGCCUGUUCUUGACGCUGAGGCGCGAAAGCUAGGGGAGCAAACGGG